rnacentral:lncRNA from 1 species
CCUGUAUUUUGUAGUAAUGCCACCAAAGACCAGAAAUAGAUUACUUAGUUGCAGACUUGUCACCAACUGAGGUAAAUUUGUAUAGUAUUACUUCUAGUUCUCCCUUCUGGUGCUGCUAGCUACUCCCCAGGGCUUAAAAUAAUUUAUAAAGCAAGGCUAUUUCUUACUAGGUUUUCAUUUCAAAACAGGCCACUCUCUUCUGCAACUAUGUGAAAGAAACUUUGUUUUAUUUCCACCAGCAAAGAGUAACCUCGGAUCCAUCAACAAUUGAGUUUUACUUC